rnacentral:rRNA from 1 species
CCUACGGGGGGCAGCAGUGGGGAAUAUUGCACAAUGGGGGAAACCCUGAUGCAGCGACGCCGCGUGAGUGAAGAAGUAUUUCGGUAUGUAAAGCUCUAUCAGCAGGAACGAAACAAGACUGUACCUGACUAAGAAGCCCCGGCUAACUACGUGCCAGCAGCCGCGGUAAUACGUAGGGGGCAAGCGUUAUCCGGAAUCACUGGGGGGAAAGGGAUCGUAGACGGCAGGGCAAGCCUGGAGUGAAAGGCGGGGGCCCAACCCCCGGACUGCUUUGGGAACUGUACGGCUGGAGUGCAGGAGAGGUAAGUGGAAGUCCUAGUGUAGCGGUGAAAUGCGUAGAUAUUAGGAGGAACACCAGUGGCGAAGGCGGCUUACUGGACUGUAACUGACGUUGAGGCUCGAAAGCGUGGGGAGCAAACAGGAUUAGAUACCCGUGUAGUC